rnacentral:misc_RNA from 1 species
UUUCCGUAGGUGAACCUGCGGAAGGAUCAUUAAAGCCGUCGCCCGGGUUGCGGUUAGCCCUCCUGAGUGCCCUACCACCAUUUGUUUAUGACACUGUGUUGGUUUAGUAGGCCCGGCCUCGGGCUGCUAGCUCUGCCGGGCGAGCGAUUGCGUGAGAACCUAAACUCUGAUUGACUAGACUCAAUGGGUACUCUGAAUUAGUUCAAACUUUCAACAACGAGCCCCUUGGUUCAGGCUUCUAUGAAGAACGAAGCAGCUCGGAUGAGCACACGUCUGACC